rnacentral:rRNA from 1 species
UACGGAGGGGGCUAGCGUUAUUCGGAAUUACUGGGCGUAAAGCGCACGUAGGCGGAUCAGAAAGUCAGAGGUGAAAUCCCAGGGCUCAACCUUGGAACUGCCUUUGAAACUUCCAGUCUUGAGGUCGAGAGAGGUGAGUGGAAUUCCGAGUGUAGAGGUGAAAUUCGUAGAUAUUCGGAGGAACACCAGUGGCGAAGGCGGCUCACUGGCUCGAUACUGACGCUGAGGUGCGAAAGCGUGGGGAGCAAACAGG